CCUACCGAACGAAGCGUGUCUGAUUUUUCGCAGUCGAUCGAUUCUCACAUCUCUCUAAUCGCAGCAAAUCUCCCAAUCGAAGAAAUCUCUCUUGAGGAAGAAAGGAGAAACAUUCGAAGAAACAAUCGGAUUCUGGGGGGAGGUAAAGAAGUAUACGAUCGGAGGUUAACCGGAGCGAAAUCCGAGUCGAGUUUCGUGAGGAAACAAAAAAAAAAAGAAUAUGGGAGAUCAUCUGGUGAGAGCGGAGGAAUUCGAGAAGAAAGCUGAGAAGAAGCUCAACGGAUGGGGAAUAUUUGGAUCUAAGUAUGAGGAUGCUGCUGAUCUGCUCGAGAAAGCAGCUAAUUCCUAUAAACUCGCCAAAUCAUGGGAUCAAGCUGGAAAAGCUUAUCUAAAACUUGCUGAUUGUCACUUAAAGUCAGACAGCAAGCACGAUGCUGCUAACGCUUAUGCUGAGGCUGCUAAAUGCUACAAGAAAGUUGACACAAAUGAGGCUGCAUCUUGCCUAGAACGAGCAGUGAAUAUAUUUUGUGAGAUAGGGAGACUCAACAUGGCUGCAAGAUAUUACAAGGAAAUUGCUGAGUAUUAUGAAUCUGAUCAGAAGUUAGAGCAGGCUAUUGCUUACUUUGAAAAGGCAGCUGAAUUCUUUCAAAAUGAAGAAGUGACCACUUCUGCAAACCAGUGCAAUCUAAAGGUUGCACAAUAUGCUGCCCAGCUGGAGCAAUAUGAGAAGGCAAUCAAGAUUUAUGAAGAAAUAGCACGCCAUUCACUUAACAAUAACUUACUUAAGUAUUCAGUCAAGGGCUAUCUUCUCACUGCUGGCAUGUGUCACUUAUGCAAAGCCGAUGUUGUUUCCAUCACUAAUGCGCUGGAGAAAUAUCAGGAUCUGGAUCCGACUUUUUCGGGAACACGGGAAUGCAAGUUCUUAGCGGACCUUGCUUCUGCUAUCGAUGAAGAAGACAUUGCAAAGUUCACAGACGUUGUCAAGGAAUUUGAUAGCAUGACUCCGCUGGAUUCAUGGAAGACAACCAUGUUGUUGAGGGUGAAGGAGAAGCUCAAGGCCAAGGAGCUGGAGGAGGAUGACCUUACUUAAACAUCUUUAUCCAGUGCGUUGCGUUUUAGAGGUUUCCCGGUUUGUAUUAUCGCUAUGAUCGAUACUUCAUAUCCGACACUUCUUUGAUUUGAUUGUGUCUGUCUGGUUUGAGUUUUAAAGGUUUCUUAAGAGGUUUGGUCAAAAAUUGGGGCUUGUUGUUUGGUAUUGAACGUCUACAUUUGUUCUCUCUGUCUCAUCACUUUCAUUUAUGGGAACUACUCAAGUCUGUUGAAGUUUUUUUUUUUUUUUUUUUUUUAAUUUUGGUUAAAAGAGAUUCUCCUUCUUUCAAAGGUUUGAUGAAUCGAGAGAGGUUUGAGGUCUUCGUAAUUGUUACGUUUACAUCUAAUAAAAUUGUGGGUUGUCUUCUUA